GGAGCCGCAGGCCGGCCCGGGCUGGACAGACCCCUCCAGGUGGACCGGAAACAGGCCUGCCCUGCAAUUCCAGCCCCUGCCACCCACUGCCCACCCUAUGUCCAUCUGUCCUUCCCCCAAGAGCCUGUCACCAGCCCCUGCAUGCUGCCCCCAGGCCCCACACCAGGCUGCAUGACAACAGUGGGCUGUGAGUCCCCGGGGUGGGGGUCCUAUUUCUGGGUCUAGGGUCCCGGGUCCUGGACCGGCCUGGCCACACUCACCUGGGCACCACCGGCCAAGCCCUCUACCCAAGCUCAUGUUCUCCUCUCAGUGCAGGGCUGACCCCAGGCCCAGGCCAGGACCCCACAGCCUGGCUGGGAGGUCAGAGGUCUGGGAGCCUUUUCUUCCUUCAGCUUUGCGGGGGGCAGGACGGGGCGGGGGGUUCCCACUCAGCCCCCUCACCUGGGGGGCCCAGACCCUGUGCCCCCCUGUGCCCAGGACAGGCACAACAACGUCCCUUCCCCGCCUCACCCCCGCAGGCCUGGGCGGAGUGGGGGCGAAGGCUUUCCCUGAGCUUCUUCAGAGCAGCUGCGAACUGCAGGUCCCUGGAGGGUUUUCCCGGAACAGCACGUCUGCUCUUGAGCCCCCUCCUCCGGCUCGACUCGACGGGCCAAGCGCUCCCCUCCCGCCACCGCGAGUUCCUGAGAACCCAGAUGUUCCCCGAGCCCGUCUGCCCCCACACCCAGCGCCUCUGUCUGCGGAUGUGAAGCAAACGCGGGGGACAUGGAGACCAAAUGUGGGCUCGGGCUCGGCUCGGCAGGGCGGGUCCGCCCGGACCGACGUCCAAGCCCCCCCCGCCGCCCCCACACCCCUGCCACCGCCCCUCCUGCAGCUCCCAGCCCUGAGCCUGUGUGUGGACGUCUCUGGACAAACGAGGACACGGAGCCUCUGAAGCCCAUACGCCCGUCCUGAGGUCACACGGCCAGCAGGGGACAGCGCUGGUCCCACGGCCCCUGCUCUCCGGGUUCCGGGUCUCGGGGACACUGGGCGAUGCCAGCAGCGUCCCAGAACUGUGGUUAGGACAGAGGGUUGAGUGGCCCCUGCAGACCCUGUUCCUGGGAAGGGUUAGGGAAGGACAUGGGGGGGGGGGGCUGCAGAACAGUGUGUGGUCACCCGGGACUCGGGUGACGCCGCGCCUGGCCAGCGGCGGGGAGCACGCCCUCUUUUCUUGGGGUCCAGAGGUCUGGAGGGCUGUCCGUGGUGGGGGUGGGGGGCUGCUGGUCAGGAGGGGCCCUGGCCUCCCCUCCCUCCCCCUGCCAACAGGCCUUGUUCAGCAGCCGUGUGAAGGGGGUGGACAGGCCUGCCGCCAAGUCCCUGGUCACAUGCCUGCCAGCGUGCAGUGACCUUGCAUCAUUUUGGAGACCAGCCCCGGGGCCUGCAGCUCAGCACGAGGGUCUCAUCAGGCCCCAGUGACCCUGCCCUCGAGGGAGCUGGAGAGGGAGGCGCCGCAGUUACUGCCCAGCCCCCACCUGCUGAGGAGGGCAGCCCUGUGCCAUGGGAGUCCUGGCCCCACAUCACCACCUGCCAGGCAAGAGAGGGACCCCCACCCUCAGGUGGGGGUGAGGGAGCCGGGGCGGGGGUAGGUCUAGGGGGUGCUGCCCCCAGCCCAGGGUCCCGUCCAUGGCCUCGUUGCCCACGCCCAGCAGACGGGCCAGGACAGGGCCCUGCCUUGGGGACCAGCCCCCCAAGGCCAGCAGAGCAGGAAGCGACUAUUGUUUACAGGAUGCUCUGGCGCCCUGGGGGCCCCACUUGGUGGGCUCUGGGCCCUGCUGGGGGGUGGCCCUUGGCUGUCACUGCCUGGGAAGACCUCACCCCAGGACCCCGCUGGGCCUCCCGUGGGCCCCCAGUUGCAUCUUAGUCUUCUGUCUCUGAGGACGGCUGCCAAGCUUCGCCCACAGCCUCAGACAGCCGGGAAAGGCGUUUCACUGCCAGAUGGUUUGCUUUUUCCACGGAACAGGGGCCAGCAUGAGGUAGCUGGGGAAAGAUUAACCCCUCAGACCCGUGGCGCCGUUACCCUGCCUUGGCCCGUCUUCCAGGGUCCUUGUGCCCACUUUGCCCGGCCCACUCCCCCACUCUGGCAAAGAAAUACCUUCUCUUCAUUGCGGGGGGCGGAGGGGACCUCCCCGGGAACCAGACGUACCUCAGCCACAGACCCUGGGAACUUUGUGAAACCAGACAUCACAGGCGCGGGGGUCCGAGCAGCCUCUGAUGGGGCGUGGGAAGCCCCCCAGGCCAGCCCACUCCCACUCUGUCACAACAUCCUGCGGGACCUGGGGGAUGACCUCAGGCCUCGGGUCUCACUGGUAGUUAGCUGGGCAGAGGUAUCAGCCCACCACCACCCAGGACCCCGGGCUCGGCACCUGCUGACCUCGUCCAGACGACACCCCCCGCCCCCAGUUUUUCAGUGUUUCUUUCAGAGACGGUUCACAGCCACGGCCUCUAAGUGAUUCCCACCAGAGAGUAGAGUUCUCGGCUCUUGGGCAGCAGGACAGAGCAAAUUAGGCCAAGGCGCGUGGCCCGGGAGCCAGGCCAGGUGCACGACACGUUUCCCAGAGCGGCUUGGACGGCGGUCCUGCCAUCCUGGGAAGCAGGUGGGAACGGCCUGGGGACAGCUUCUCAGCGCAGUUUCACACAAGGUCGCACAGGCCCGCGGUAAUGAACACCGGGCAGACAGGGGAGCCUGAGCCUCCCCGGGGCCCCCAGGAACCAGAGCGGGGCGUCCAGCCUCCGCAGACAAGUUUGUCCCUCGGCAGCCCCCUGCCAGGCCACCAUCCAGCUCCGUUCCCCGUGGCCUGUGAUUGACUGAACAAUCCCUAUUGUUGAGUCUCUGGGGUGUCACCACGUUUUUUCGAUAAAAACCAUGCAUUUUGUGGUAGUUUUUGCAAAUAAGUCUGCAGGAUGCAUUUCUGGCAAUGAACUUGUUCUAAUUCACACUCGCUGACAGGGGCACCCCCACCCCCUAGCCCUCGCCGACAACAGGUGGUGGCGGCUCCCCAGGGUUUCCCGUCUAAGGCUGGGAGCCCAGACCCCCUCCUCGGCAGCGGCUGCCGUUCCCACCCUGGCCUCUUUUUCUCUGGGCUUUGCCUUCCCGCUGCCGACCGUCAGUUAGGACCUGAGUCAACGCCUGCGGGUCCCGCCUGCGGGUCAGUGUGACUCAGAUGCCCCAGUGCCCAGCGCUUCUGCCCGGGGGGCCAGCCUGGCGUGACGGGCCCGCCCCUCUCGGCACCUGGAGACGACGUCCCAGCCCACCGCGCCCUCACGCCCAUCCGACCACCGGCUGCUUCCGGUCCAGCUGACUCAUCCUGCGGUCAGCAGACAGGCUGGGAGACAGGCCGCACUGGGUGCCCCAGUGCCCGGGUGCCCGGGGCCAGGCCUCUGGACCUCACAGUCAAGCCAGCCAGGAGAGGGGCCCUCGCAGAGACGAGGACAGAAGGGCGGGGUGGCCAAGCUGGGGCAGGGACAGGAGCCAGGACGGUCUCUGCCCUCGGAGCCUGACGGGUCGGUCUGGCAUCCCUGCCAGCUGCGACGUCCGCACCGCUUCAUCGCCAUGGCAACCACAUGUGUAGCCAUGGAAAGCAUUUUCCUUGAUGAAUCAUGCUCUAAGUUGGGAAGGAACUCACUCCAUAGUUGAGACUUUAAAAAGGAAUCAAAAACGGUUUUGUUCAACAGAUGCUAAGAGGGUUUGGGUCUUUGGUGUUUAUAAAUGAAGGCGGCUUUCCAACACCCACGCCCGGGAAGGGGCAGAAACUUCCGGAAACACCGCCUCAAUCACUCAGGGGGGCAGGCUCCUUGCACUCCCCCCAGGUCACCCCAUCUUCUGGGCCCUUCUGGUCUGGAAGGUCUUAUCAGGUGGAGCCCGAGCUUUCGGAGCCCGUGGAGGACGGCUCACGCGGCCCUGGUGGGCCUGGGGGUGCGCGGUCGGGGGCAAGGGCUCGGCUGCGCCAGCACGGCAAUCCAGCUCGGUUUGUCUGCGGGCACGACAAUCCAGCUCGGUUUCCCCACCAGGACAGAGGGGGUGAGAUCUGCCCACCGACCCCGAGUCUGACCUGAAAGGCAGGGGGAGCCCUCUGUGCCCUGAAAAGUCGUGUUUGCCGGUAUAAAUGCACAGUUUUCCCAGAAAGUGCCAUUUCUACACAGAAAUCAGUGCUCACAGCGUCAGCAAUCAGCAAAGUGGACUCGGCUUCCAGGGGUAGCGCAUCCGAACCGUCUAGCUGGGGCCUCGGACUCCAGGACGGAGGCAAGGGCAGCUGUCUGGCUUCCAUCCGUGCUGGUCACUUCCGACCAGAAGGUGUGACCGCACCAUGGCCUCAUCAGCAGAGGGGCCCACACGCGGACCCUGGGCCUGCAGGCUGGCAGGUGGUCCGUCAGAGGAUGAAGAGAGCCAUCAGGUGGGGCUCUGGAGCUGCCCAGAGCUGGCAGGAAGGACCCGUGCCUACCAUGCUCCAGGGGCCAUGGCUGCAAACCCGGCCACGAAUGGUGGGCUGGGUGCUCUCGACGUUGCCCCGGCUGGGUGGCCUGGGGCACUGCCAGCUGGUUGGUGGCGUGGUGCACAGCGUGGGGUCACUCUGCGGACCACCUUCACUGCUGCACGCUGUGCUGUGAGCACAUGGAGAGGAGGUGCUGAGGGCUACACGGCCCAUGGAAGGAGCGCCCAUUCUCAUCCUCUGUGGGGACGGACUUAUUCUGAGGGCCUGAGGCAAAGACAGCGAGGUCUGGCAGGGGUCCCUGCUGCCCACAGGGUGUGUCCACCUUCUCCACGUGCCCGGGCCAGUGGGGCAUCACCCAUGAGGGCAUCACCCAUCAGGGGGAUAUCACCCGUCAGGGAGGCAUCACCCAUCGGGGGAGCAUCACCCAUCAAAGGCAUAAUUCAUCAGAAGGGCAUCGCCCAUGAGGAGCUUCACCCAUGAGGAGCGUCACCCAUCAGUGGGGGGGCAUCACCCGUGGGCAUGCAUCCCUAUUGAGGCGCUCCUGCCGGGAGACCAGGGCGGGAGGGAACUGCUCUGGUCUCACCGCCUUGCCCCGGACUCCUUCAGCCCCUCCAUUAAAAACCCUUGCACUU
rnacentral:lncRNA from 1 species